rnacentral:rRNA from 1 species
UACGUAGGGUGCAAGCGUUUGUCCGGAAUUAUUGGGCGUAAAGAGCUCGUAGGCGGUUCGUCGCGUCGGCUGUGAAAACCUGAGGCUCAACCUCAGGCCUGCAGUCGAUACGGGCGGACUUGAGUACUGCAGGGGGAGACUGGAAUUCCUGGUGUAGCGGUGAAAUGCGCAGAUAUCAGGAGGAACACCGGUGGCGAAGGCGGGUCUCUGGGCAGUAACUGACGCUGAGGAGCGAAAGCGUGGGGAGCGAACAGGA